UACAGAGGGUGCAAGCGUUUAAUCGGAAUUACUGGGCGUAAAGCGUGCGUAGACGGUUAUUUAAGUCAGGUGUGAAAGCCCAGGGCUCAACCUUGGAAUUGCAUUUGAGACUGAAUAGCUAGGGUGCGGAAGAGGGAAGCGGAAUUUCCGGUGUAGCGGUGAAAUGCGUAGAUAUCGGGAGGAACACCAGUGGCGAAGGCGGCUUCCUGGCCUGUUCUUGACGCUGAGGCGGCGAAAGCUAGGGGAGCAAACGGG
rnacentral:rRNA from 1 species